GUGCCAGCAGCCGCGGUAAUACGUAGGGGGCGAGCGUUGUCCGGAGUUACUGGGCGUAAAGGGCAUGCAGGCGGUCCGGCGCGUUUCGCGUGACAGCGGGUGGCUUAACUCCCCGAGAGUGCGAAAGACGGCCGGACUUGAGGGCCAGAGAGGGACCUGGAAUUCCGGGUGGAGUGGUGAAAUGCGUAGAUAUCCGGAGGAACACCAAAGGCGUAGGCAGGGUCCUGGCUGGCAACUGACGCUGAGGUGCGAAAGCUAGGGGAGCGAACGGGAUUAGAUACCCCAGUAGUCC
rnacentral:rRNA from 1 species